rnacentral:rRNA from 1 species
GACGAACGCUGGCGGCGUGCUUAACACAUGCAAGUCGAACGGAAAGGCCCUGCUUUUGUGGGGUGCUCGAGUGGCGAACGGGUGAGUAACACGUGAGUAACCUGCCCUUGACUUUGGGAUAACUUCAGGAAACUGGGGCUAAUACCGGAUAGGAGCUCCUGCUGCAUGGUGGGGGUUGGAAAGUUUCGGCGGUUGGGGAUGGACUCGCGGCUUAUCAGCUUGUUGGUGGGGUAGUGGCUUACAAAGGCUUUGACGGGUAGCCGGCCUGAGAGGGUGACCGGCCACAUUGGGACUGAGAUACGGCCCAGACUCCUACGGGAGGCAGCAGUGGGGAAUAUUGCACAAUGGGCGGAAGCCUGAUGCAGCAACGCCGCGUGCGGGAUGACGGCCUUCGGGUUGUAAACCGCUUUCGCCUGUGACGAAGCGUGAGUGACGGUAAUGGGUAAAGAAGCACCGGCUAACUACGU